AGGCUGAAAGACAUGCUUUUGACAAAGAUAAAGAAUUAUGCAAAGCCCAGAGGUUAAUUAAAAAAUACGAAAAAGAAUACGGGAUCGAGGAGGCAAAGAAAGAAAUAGAAAAUCUAGAAAAGAAAUUACAAAUUAAUGACAGAAAAAUAGAAAAUUUAAUCAAAAUAUUGAACCAAGAAAACAUGGCAAUGAAUUUUGACAAUAGCACCGACAUUUGAAAAUGGAGGGAAAUCGAUGAAAGUCUCCACGAGCAUCGAAUUCCUCAGUGGAUCUGUUAAUAUUUGCUUCAAGACAGGAAAUUUGCCAAACUUUAACAAUGAGAUAAAUUUAACAAUGUUGAAUAUGUCCAAAGAAGAAAAAUUAAGAGUUGUCAGUCGUUUUGAAAUUGUCAUUAAAAAUUUUUUUUAUAUUAUAA